GACGAACGCUGGCGGCGUGCUUAACACAUGCAAGUCGAGCGGUAAGGCCCUUUCGGGGGUACACGAGCGGCGAACGGGUGAGUAACACGUGGGUGACCUGCCUUUAGCUCUGGGAUAAGCCUGGGAAACUGGGUCUAAUACCGGAUAUGACUCCGCGGUGCAUGCUGUGGGGUGGAAAGCCUUGUGCGGCUGGAGAUGGGCCCGCGGCCUAUCAGCUUGUUGGUGGGGUGANGGCCUACCAAGGCGACGACGGGUAGCCGGCCUGAGAGGGCGACCGGCCACACUGGGACUGAGACACGGCCCAGACUCCUACGGGAGGCAGCAGUGGGGAAUCUUGCGCAAUGGGCGAAAGCCUGACGCAGCGACGCCGCGUGAGGGAUGACGGCCUGGUGUAACGU
rnacentral:rRNA from 1 species